GUGUUAAUUGAUUAUUUUUGUUUUAAUUUGUGUAUAUUUAAGAAUAUACAAGGCAAGAAAAUGCACAGUGUCUUCAUGUUUUACACCAAUCCUAUAUCUCAUGUAAAUCACCCUUCACUGUUUUGAAAUCAAUAAAAGCAUUUAGAUGUUUUCCAUAUAGUACUUCUACGCAUACUUAAGUAGUUAAGUGUUAAUUAGAGAUGUUGAUUUCGACCCAUUUUCUUGAAAAUAGGUUGAUUUGAGUUCUCCAAUGAGUCAAAUAUAUAACUUAAGAGCAUACAUAGAUGUGAAACAGGUCAAGAUGGAAGUCCCCAGAUUGUUAUUUAAAUAUUUGCAACUUCUUGAAUGUAUUUACCAAUUUCUUUUAGUGCACCGAACAGCUAGCGGCCUAUGGGGAAUUAGUGUCAAUCUGGGGGCUUAAUGCUGUUGAUACGACAAAUUACAACAUGGUGGUUGGGCUCCGAUGGGCCUACAUAUGUAUGAUCGGACAUCUCUAAUUAUAAGUUUCUAAAUUUAUUUGAAACAGAGCCCAUAUGGGGGGACAUAUUAUCACCAGCCAUCGUUUGACCUCCCGGUGCUGAAAGGAACAACGCCGUUGACGGUUUUUGAAUAAAUAUUAGGACCCACCGGAGAGACCAAACGGGCAUCAUCAUCAUGCAGGGAUGGAGUCAGAAUGUAUCAACUAUGGAGUUUAUCCAGAAUACUGCCUGGAGGGAACAAUUCUGAUCAAGAACAACCGAACAAGAUUGUUCUAAUGGUUGUCAUGAGUUUCCGAAACUAUCAGAUAAGGAUAUUCUUUCUUGUUGUGAACGAGGCGUGUAGAGUAUAUGCCGAGGGUAUUGCAGUAAAAGCAGCUGAUUUGGAUAUCGCGGGUGUUAUGGGAAUGGGAUUUCCACCUUACAGGGGAGGGGUUAUGUUCUGGGGAGAUUCAGUUGGAUCUAAGUAUAUAUAUAUGAGAGGUUGAAUGAGUGGUCAAAUAUGUAUGGGGACUUCUUUAAGCCAUGUAACUAUUUGGCCCAAAGAGCUACACUUGGGGCUCCGUUGAGUUCACCGUUGGAUCAAGCAAAAUCGCAAUUAUGAGAAUGGACGUCGCCUAUUGGUUUCAUGACCCUUGAACUAAUCAUGCUGAUUCUUUCGAUGACGAUCUCAACACCAUUGAAGCUGGUUGGUAGGUAAAUUUCUUCAACACAUACAUAUAUGUUCCUGCAUACGAUUGAAGAAGAUGACCAAGGUACUAUUAUCCUCAGAAUUUCUUUGUAGUUUGUUACUAUUUGAUUUAGGAAACAUACAAUUGUACUUUGUUUUGUAUGUAUGCAGGGAUUGAUUUAGGCUGGUACAAAUAUUAAAAUAAAAUGUUUUCUUGAUAGUGUACAUUAGUAAUGGCAAAUUUACGAUUAACGAGCCAACACCAUGCGGUGGGCCGCUUUGCUGUAUAUGUCAUGUAUAUGUUAGUGUCAUCAUCGUAGCGCGUA